rnacentral:lncRNA from 1 species
CUCUCCUUCAGGAGAACAGGGUUCAAUAAGUACUCUGAACUGGUGAUUGCCAUGCUUCCACCCCUACAACAUAGCCUUAGAAGAGUGCAGAAAGUGGGGAAAGACAUAACAGGUUUUCAGCUUUUUCCAGUCUUUGAACAGAUUAACAAACAUAACCAAUAUAUCCUCAUGUACACUGAAGUUUCCUUUUAAGACUCUAAAGGAACUCAAAAGCGCUUGCGGUACAUAUAGUCCAAAUUCACCCUUUGUGCAAAGCCUGCUUGAUUUGUUAUGCCACAUGCCUUUACCCCCAAAUGACUGGAAUUCAAUGGCCAAGGCUUGCCUUUCUGGGGGUGAUUAUCUCCUUUGGCAAUCUCACUGGCUGAUUAUUGUACUGAACAGGUUGUGAGGAACAGGAGUCAAGGCUUUGAUGCCCCUUUGGAAAUGCUAAUUGGAACUAGGGAAUUUGCGGACCUAGAGAGACAAGUUAUGAUCUAGCCAUUUAUGAUCAGAUCACUGCAUGUGCCAAAAGAGCAUGGCUCCAGAUAUCUUCCCAGGAUCAAGCAAAGUUAGAUUUUAGCCAGAUAGAACAGGAGUCAAAAGAAAAAUUUUCUGAUUUCAUAAAGCGUCUGUACUAAGCAGCUAACAGGUCAAUCGGAGAUUCAAAUGCCUCCGAAUUCAUAAAGAGCUAUCAUUUGAAAACACCAAUAAAAUUUGUCAGGACAUCCUCCAACCCCAUCAGAAGAAAGGGAUAGUUUCUGAAUUUAUUCACCUGUGUAUGGAUGUUGGUCUUACACAAUUAUAAGGUUUUACGCUCACCACGGCUUUAAAACAGAUACUUCAGCUCCACUCCCAGAGGCGUCAUUCUCGUGGUGGUGUUUUAAUUGUGGCAGGACUUGGCAUUUGGCAAGGGAAUGCAACUCCACACAAUAGGGCAGAAAUCGCUCCCGGGUCGCCCCGGCAGCAUUACCAGAUAGAAAGCUGCGUGGUGACAGGAACAGAUGUGGUGGUGGCCUGCCUCCAUUUCUAACUUCACUUAUGCCCCCUUUCAGGCCAAAAAAUGGAGGUUUGGGCCUAUCCCAGGCCCGAUGCACAAUGGGGGGGCUCUACAGUACACAUGAGAGGAGGAUUCGGAGUCACAGGCCUUGAUGUCAUCACAUCCAACCAUGGCGGAUCAUCAUUAUUAACAGUCAGCUCCAACCAGAAAGUACUUUUAUGACCAGCCAUGCUAAUAAACUUAACACCUGAAAUGGGACUACAGCAAGUUCCUACUGGAAUCCAUGAACCAUUACCCCCAGGUACCAUAGCCCUAAUUUGGGGGCAAAAUAAUUUUAAAGAGUGAAUUCAAGUAAUGCCAGGAGUUACUGAUUUGGAGUUUAGCUAUGAGCUAACAGUUACUGUGAAAUCAGAGGAUGCCAUUCGGCUCUCUACAAAAGACAUGCUGACAAUUAGUACUUUUACCUUGCCUUUCAGUGGACAGAUCAUUUAAGACCUCAACUCCCAGGUUCCCAAACAGUGUGUACUGGGCUCAAUUAAUCCUGCAGGAGUGCCCCCUACUGGAAUUUAAAAUCAACCUUUAAAAUAAAUUAAGGUAUUGUAGAUACUGGGGCAAAUAAAUCUGUUUUAUCUCGCAGAUUUUGGUCCAAAAUCUGGCCUUUACGUAUUGUGCCUGCCAAUUUAGAAGGCAUAGGGCAGAUCUCUAAACCUGCCCAGAGUAUUCAGUAUCUUCGCUGAGAAGAUCGAGACGGUAAUACUGGAAUUUUCAACUGGACACAUUACUGGUAAAUUCAUGGGGUAGAGAUUUUUUAAGCAGUUUAGGAUUAUUAGUAGUAACUAAAUUGUAUCAUGUCAUUUGAGGGACUUAAUAAAGGAUUUACUCCUAAGGAAAUUGAGGGAAACCUACUUAUGACCCAGUCUCCUCAACAGAGAUUAAUUAAUGCACACAAUCAAAAUUUUUGGUGGGGGCCCUGACAUUUUUCAUUUCCCCAAAAAACAGCAUAAAAAAUUAAUUGGCUCACAGAAGAGACAACCUGAGUUAACCAAUGGCCCUUAACAGGGGAAAAACUAAAAUAGCCCACAUGUUAGUUGAGGAACAGCUUCAAGAUGGUCAUUUAGAGCCUAUUCUCAGCCCCUGAAAUACAAAAAUUUUUGUAAUAAAGAAAAAAUCUGGUAAUUGGAGAUUAUUACAAGACCUUAUUAGAACCCAUUGGAAUGUUACAAUCUGGGCUUCCUUCUCCUACACUAUUCCUUUAGAUUAUUAUUUGAUAGUAGUUUUAAAAGAUUGUUUUUCUCUAUACCUUUGCACCCAGAUGACUGUAAAAAGUUUGCCUUUAGUGUCCCAGCAAUUAAUUUUAAAGAACCAGUUAAAAGAUAUUGCUGGAAAUUGCAUGUGUAAUAGUCCUACCCUAUGUCAAAAUUUUGUGGCACAAGCUAUCACACCUGUGAGGAAAAAAUUCCCUGAUGUUAUUAUUCAUUUUAUGGGUGACAUACUUUUAGUUCAUCCUAAUUCAGAUGUACUCUUUUUUUUUUGCCCAAAUAGAGAAUUUACUCCCAGCAUUGGGUUUGUGCAUUGCACCUAAAAUUGUGCAAAACACAUCUCCUUUUCAAUAUCUAGGUCAUGUGAUUGAAGGACAUAGAAUCCGUCCUCAAAACUUACAAAUGAGAGUCAAGGAGCUGCACAUCCUUAAUGAUUUUCCAAAAAUUAUUAGGAGAUAUUAAUUGGCUGAGGCCAUCUUUAAAGCUAAGUUCUUUAGAUUUAAGUUCUUUAUUCCAGAUAUUAGAGGGAGAUCUUUCUCCAACUUCUUCUCAUCGUCUCACAGCAGAAGCGAAAAUGGCUUUGAGGAAAGUUGAAAUUGCUAUUAAAAAUGCUCAACUUACUAGAAUUAAUCCACAAGAGCCUAUAUAUUUAUUGAUAUUUCCAACUGUGUAUGCUCCUACUGGAGCCAUAUGGCAAACAUUGGGAGUUAUGGAGUGGAUUCAUUUAGCCCACUCUCCUCAAAAGUCAUUAACUCCUUUUCAUGAUUUUGUUCCUCAAUUAAUGAUAAAGGGCAGAACAACAGUUUUACAGCUAGUUGGAUCAGAACCUAAUAUUGUAAUAUUUCCAUUUUCUGCUCAACAAAAUGAUUGGCUCUUUCAAACGUCUAAUUUUUGGCAAGUAGCUUUUGUUAAUUUUCCUGGUCAGAUAGAGAGUAAUUUUCCUCAUGAUAAAAUUAUUCAAUUUGCAUUGGUAAUGCCAUUCAUAUUUCCAAGGAUUGUAUGUGCACAAUCAAUAAAUGGUGCACUGACAGUGUUCAUAGAUGGCUCAAGCUCAGGUAAAGCAGGUUUUUAUAGUCAGCUCAUACAGAGGUAAUACAAACCUCAUAUGCUUCUGCCCAAUGAGCAGAACUACAAGCUCUCAUUUGUGCUUUAAGUCAUUUUGCAAAUGAGCCCAUCAAUAUUUAUUCUGACAGAUUUUAUGCAAUUGAAGUUUCAAAAAAUAUUGAAACUUCAAUUAUUGGGUGUACAUCCUCACAAGAGUUAUUCAAUUUGUUUCAUACCCUACAAAGGACAGUGCAAAUGUGAAAGCACCUAUGUUUUAUAGGUCACAUACAAGCCCACACUAAUCUUCCAGGGCCUCUAACAUCAGGUAAUGAUAAGAGUGAUAAAUUGGUUGCUCUUUUUCAACAAAAGCCUUUGUACGACUGUGCACAAGCUUUGCAUUCUUUGCAUCAUCAAAAUGCUUCUAGCUUACAUAAAAAAAUCUAAUAUUACUAGAGAAUAAGCUUAUGAAAUUGUAUGUCACUGCCCCCCAGUGUGUUAUGCACACUCCAUCUUUACCAUCUGAGAUAAAUCCCCAUGGAUUAAAACCAAAUAAAUUAUGACAAAUGGAUGCAACUCACACUCCUCAACUUGGUAAACAAUGUUAUGUACAUGUAAUUAUAGAUACUUAUUCUAGAUUUAUCUUUGUUACAGCCCAUCGGAAAGAAAAUACUCAACAUGUUAUUUCUCGUUGUUUAGCUGCCUUUGCAGUAUUAGGAUGUCCUUUACAGAUUAAAAAAACAAAUACUGAUACUGCAUCAUCUUAUGUAAGCUCUUCUUUUCAACAAUUUUGCCAAAAUUGGAAACUGGGGAAUUUGGUUUCAUAUUGACCAUAAAACAGGUAUUCCUUAUAACCCUCAAGGUUAAGCCAUUGUAGAAUGAACUAAUUUAUCUAUUAAGCUAUAAUUACAAAAACAGGGGAGAUAGGACUAUGACUCCCCCAAAUAACCUCAAUCAUGCUCUGUUCAUUUGAAUUUUUUUUUAAGUUGUGACUCAGAAUAUCGCACUGAAGCUGAGUGACACAUGUCUUCCACAGCAAUAGGCCCUUUAGACCGAGUUUGGUGGAAGGACUUACAGGCUGAUCAAUGGAAAGGACCAGAUACAGUGAUUAUGUGGGGCAGAGGUCAUGCUUGUAUUUUCUCUGUAGGUGCUUUUUGUACUAUUUGGGUAUCUGAAUGUGCUCUCAGUUAGAACCAAGAUUCAAGUGACUGGAGAUCAACCACGAGAAGACUUCCCUCAAAAAGAAGAAUUUUUGAUGGAAGAUAAGAAUAAAAAUGGCCCCAAGAAACCAAAUGAGGAAGCUACCCUCAUGGAAGGAACUGAAGAAAUUGACACUGCAGGCUGCACAAAUGAUUCAUCAGAAAGGAAAAGUUAAAUCUCCAAUGAUGAUGCUUGUUGCAAUAUUAGCUCUAUUGAAAUGUUAGGUAAAAAGGAAUCAGGGAAACUUAUUGGACAUAUUUUCCAAAUCCACCUCUAGAAUACCCAACAGUGUGGACUGGAGAAUCCACCCCAGUAUUUACUAAUGACUCAUAUAUUAUGGGAGGAUUUACAGACAUAUUACUACCAACCAUGUGACUGGACUUAAUUAUUCUGGCUAUAGUGCCCAAUUAUCUUUGUGUUGGUUCCACAAUAAACAUGCUGGAUGGCUAAAAGUGUCAUUUAGGAAAAGACAGCAAUUGGUAGACCUAGACCAACUAAUCGUACUGUUACUGGAGACUUAAAACCUUAGAUCAAUUAUGAAAAUGAGACUUUUUCAUAACAAACCAGUCAUCUCAGUAUACUUACAAGACUCUUCAUAACCAAAUAAAUAUUGAUGAAAGGAUUGAGACCAAGCUAAAUGCCUUUGAGGCUACUGUCAUAUUUGUAAUGAACUUUUGAUUUUGAAAUUCAAGGAAAGACUUAAGGGCCAUGGUAACUAUGUGUGUUACGGCUGCCAAAUACAAUGCUUCCCAAUGGGAUUGGGAGAAGGUUAAAAACUAUUUAUUGGGUAUUUGGCAAAAAAUAUUAUAACAGUUUGGAUCUUUUGGAGCUCCAUCAUCAUAUUCAAGUUAUACAAAAAAAUAUGAUUGAUUUUUCAGAACCUACUUCUUUAGCUAAUAAAAUACUUAAAAGAAUUGAAUGACUUCAAACUUGGAAACAUUCUUAAACAUUCUAUAUGGUAUAUCCUUGUAUUGUUCUCUUUGCUAUUAAUUCUCUCUUGUAAUUGUAGAAUGUGGAGCCUUCAAAACAAGGAUUCGGGUACUUGAAAUAGUGGCCAAUCACUAUUUUUCAAAGAAAAAAGGGGGAAUAUGUGGGUAGCCACUCUGAAUGAUUCAUGUUUUCCAUCUUGCAGCAGAGAGGCUUUGACCAUCACUACAUCUCGUAGUGACUUGGACAUCACCCUGGUCCUGGAAGUUUGAGGACAUGUCUUCAGAUGUAGGCAUAAUGCUACAGCCCUUGGGUCCAAUUACACCCACAUAUUCCUUGUAACUCUGCCCCUUCUUACCUUUUUGGAUGGAAAUUUCCAAGAAUUAGGGUCAUUCCCAAUAAAAGUCCACUUCUGAAAGUGCUCACUCUCUCUCGCCAGCCUCUCAUGACUUUCCCUUGCUCUCCCAUUUGGGGAGCUUGAGUCUGAGAGUGGAGGAGCCAUCCUGAAACUUGUUUAAAGGUAAAGUGUGUGUCUGUGUUUUA